rnacentral:rRNA from 1 species
ACGAACGCUGGCGGCGUGCUUAACACGUGCAGGUCGAACGGAAAGGCCCUGCUUUUGUGGGGUGCUCGAGUGGCGAACGGGUGAGUAACACGUGAGUAACCUGCCCUUGACUUUGGGAUAACUUCAGGAAACUGGGGCUAAUACCGGAUAGGAGCUCCUGCUGCAUGGUGGGGGUUGGAAAGUUUCGGCGGUUGGGGAUGGACUCGCGGCUUAUCAGCUUGUUGGUGGGGUAGUGGCUUACCAAGGCUUUGACGGGUAGCCGGCCUGAGAGGGUGACCGGCCACAUUGGGACUGAGAUACGGCCCAGACUCCUACGGGAGGCAGCAGUGGGGAAUAUUGCACAAUGGGCGGAAGCCUGAUGCAGCAACGCCGCGUGCGGGAUGACGGCCUUCGGGUUGUAAACCGCUUUCGCCUGUGACGAAGCGUGAGUGACGGUAAUGGGUAAAGAAGCACCGGCUAACUACGUG